CAUGUUUCUUUUUGUUCUUUUAAUGGUAUAUAAAACUUAGUGUUAAAAACUAGAAUACAAACUAUUUCAAGACAUAUCCAAUGAAGCUCAAUACUAAGAGAACAACUGACGAGAUUUUGUGAACAUUAAAAAUAAUUUUAAAAAAUCAAAUCCAGUAUCAGAUUCAUUCAACUAUUUAAGUGAUGCUAACUAGUUUGUGACUCAAAAUUAACGAGACAGUUGGCACAGACUAGAUCAGAACUUCUUCUUUUGCAAUGCCUUUGGGACAAUGUUAGGAAAAUUCAAGCUACUGUACUAGUGGUCACUAAUUGACACUGCAGAUAGAAAUAAGUGAAUCUUGUUAACAUUAUUUCUCCCACUUCCCAUUCUUGGAUCAAGUUGAAACUUAACACAAUUGGAAAGGUGGCCAAAACCACUUGGCUAUCUAACAAGGGGGUCAAGUUCCAAUUCAGAGUCAAGCCAAGUUGUGUUUGUUGAGCGCCCAAAGGCAGCACAUAAACUUUCUACCAGGUACCCCUUUCUCCCACUGGUCCACAAAAGAGAUUGAACCAUAGUGCACUAUAUAAAACCAUGAAUCGAACAGAAAAUUAACUAAUAAAUUAAUCAAUUAGUCAUAAUUAUUUUAUUUUAUACAGGAAAUGUAUGUAUAGAAUUAGAUUACCUUCCAUCAGGGAGGCUCGAGUUUGAAUUCAGACUUGAGAAACUUUUUUUUAACUUGCUUUUGAAAAGGCAACACAGACACUUUCUUCCAGAUACCCCUCCCCACCCAAACUGGUCCACAAAAAUGAUUGGACCAUAAGCACUGAGCAAGCUGUAAGUAUGAAGUCAAGGUAACCAAGAACAAUUAAUACAAAUAUUUCUAAUCGCAAAGAUUUAUUAUUGUUCAACUAGAUCUAUUUUUAAACAUUUUUUCAUACUUUUACUAGUUAUGUAAUCAAGUAUUGAUUACAGAUUUGAACUGUACAAAAUACUUAGAGUUUUCAAAAUCUUAUUCACUAAUAGUUAUUAACUAGUAAAUUUAACAUAAAAUUUUAUUUUACUUUUUUCAAGAAAAACAUCAAUUAAACAUACAACACACACAUUUCUUAGAUGCUAUUACAAGUGAACAAUAGAAUUCAUUACAUAUUUGUUAAGUAAUCAUUUCUAAUUUUAUACAUUUUUUUGUUGACAUAAGUUCAAAAUAACUAAGAAUAAGAAAAUGUGUAACAUUCAACUAUACAAUAAUAAUUAGCAAAUUUUUAAUUAUUGAGGUGGAGAAAAAUGUCAGACAUAAACUUAUUAUUUAACAUACAAAUUUGAUUACAUUUAGUUAUUUCUCAAGCAGCACAGACAUGAACGUGUUCAUUAUUUUGAGCUUUACAAGAUUAGAUCAUGUUUUGUUUUUCCAUUUAGACAGCUAAUUAUUUUUAUGAACUCUGAAGAUAAAAGGAAACCAGUACCAGUACCAAACCUUUGAUAUAGUGAAACAGAAAGAAUAUGACCGUUUUUUUUAUAUUUCAUGUUAUACAAAAGAGUAGAAAUACACAUUAAAAAUUUCAUCUAUGACUAUUUUUUUUAGAGUUGUUGCAAAAUAAUGACACUAAUGAAAGAAAAUACA